rnacentral:rRNA from 1 species
AUGGUGGAGGGCUCCGCGUCCGACAUAGCCAACCUGAAGUUCUUCCUCCUAUGCUUCCAACAGAUGUCAGGGCUCACAAUCAACUUCGAUAAGAGUGAAGUGAUGGUUCUUGGCUACCCCCCUGAGGAGGCCUAGGCCAUGGCCGACCGACUGAACUGUCGGCUGGGUACUUUCCCCACGACUUAUUUGGGGAUACCCAUUAGUGACUCACAACUCACCAUGGCUGACCUUCGCCCGUCAGUGACCCGAAUGCAGCACCGUGUAGAGCCCUGGAAGGGGAGGUGGCUCUCGAAGGCGGCCUAG